AAGAGCCCGGUGCGGGAAAACCGCACGCCGGGAUCUGUGCAGGGGGCGUCGGGUAACCGGCGUUCCUACUGCGAC
rnacentral:ncRNA from 2 species